AUGCACAAACUCUCCCGGGCUUAUCUGAUGUUUAGAUUUGAAGAAAAAUGCCCCAUUGUUGGUGCUAAAACCAUGCCGUUUUACGUGUUGCGGAACAGCCUUUCUUUUCCAAUGGCUCUUCUGUGUCAAAUCGGCGGCUACAUCC
rfam:Gossypium raimondii Chr13_contig_233, whole genome shotgun sequence.